CUACGGAGGGUGCGAGCGUUAAUCGGAAUUACUGGGCGUAAAGCGUACGUAGGCGGUUGGUUAAGUUAGAUGUGAAAGCCCCGGGCUUAACCUGGGAACUGCAUUUAAAACUGGCGAACUAGAGUUGAGUAGAGGGGAGUGGAAUUUCAGGUGUAGCGGUGAAAUGCGUAGAGAUCUGAAGGAACACCAGUGGCGAAGGCGACUCCCUGGACUCGAACUGACGCUGAGGUACGAAAGCGUGGGUAGCAAACGGGAUUAGAAACCCCGGUAGUCC
rnacentral:rRNA from 1 species